GCCUGAUUUAUGUAAUCUCAUCCUGAAAAUUAUCCAGCUAACUACGUUAGCCAGGUACGAGAAAUAGGGCCCUGCUCUUUGUAACCGGACUUCCGGUUUGAAAACAGCGUCCAGUAGUUUCCGGUGUCGCUCGUGCUCAUCUUUUAAACUAGAAGGUUCCUCCUCGUACUCUGCUGUCGUUCCUUCAAACAGACCAAACAUCUCUUCAGUCAGUCGCUGGAUGACUAAACAUCUCAGCUUUUGGACUUUAGACACUUUCAAUAACUCACGGAAACGUUUCCUCGAGACAAACUCGGGUCCGUCUGCUCCCUGUCGGUGUGCGAGAUUAACUGGUUUUGAAUUAACUGUUUUUUUGUUUACAUCCGUGAGGCCGACGUGUUGUAGGAGCGGCCUCUCAGGACCCACGGUGACUAACUAGGAAAUACACAUUUCCAUCGUUUAGCCUCUGUCACGUUCUUUGUAUGGUAUGUUGUUAAAGACUAAACACGGAUGACUUUGCGGUCAAAUACACGACCUGUUCGGGAGGCUGUGGUUGGUUCAUACGCCGAGGACACGGAGCGAGGACGAGAGUAAAGGACAAAGCCACAAUACCUUGAUCUCCUCACUACUGUGAAAGAAAGACAGCACUCUGGACAGCUCCCCACACUGCAGCAGCUCUCAACAGCUGGAUCAGCACCUUGGAGAGCGCCGGGUUGAAACAACCAAGAGGGGUGCGUCCCCUAUAUUGCUCCAGUGUUACGCUGAAUACCUACAGAGACUGUAAACGCAAUACCAGAUGCCAAGGAUGCAAUUCAAGAUGACACAAAUAGGCUAAACACACGCUGCACAGCACCCACAUCGGCCAUAACAGUGAGGCCGCUCGCACAAUAACUACAUAACAAGUAUGCCAUGCAAUACGAAGCCGGGUCCACCCGCCUUGCUCUAUCUUACCCAACACACAGGGAACUGGCUAGACAACUUUGACCUCACCUUGAAUUAGAAUGGACCACAAUGGUCUUGGCUAAGUGGAACAGGUGCGUGUUAGAGCAAAUCAUCAUUAGCCCCGGCUGAGGCCAAUUAGGCCUCCACCUGGUACCGAGGUGCACUCCCCCAUUCCCCUCUGCAGCUGAGCCUAACCACGCCCUGCCACCACACUAGGCUUCUUUCCUAAGCCGUGCUGGUGUCCCAGAAGACUACAGACAAUGUCCUGCUUUAAUGCGGGAGCUCAGUCUUGCCAGUGUUUCUCAGUGACGUGCCCUGUUUCCAGUCUCUAAACUUCCCCACAGCCUCCAUGGAUGGUUCCCUGAGCGGUUUAGCUUGGCUGUACUUCUUAACAUCUUAACAUCAAUGAGUGAUACAAAGUCAAGGCUCUCCUGGCAAAAAGCGCUUAUCUCGAGCCUUCAGCUUUUGUAGAAAGUUGGACGCUUGGUUAUAAAAGUCGUACAAGCAAGGUUUAUUUUGCCCCUACUUUCUGACAGCUUCACAUCUUUAAAAGGUUCAGCCUUCUCCAAACAUUUCCAACCAGCUGUCUUUUUGACUGUCAAAACAUCGAUGCUUUGGUGGAAGUGGAGACUUGAUUCUGAGUGUCGUGUCUCGUGUCUGCAGCUUGAGAGACGGACCGUGAAGUUCACACAGGAUGUCUUUUUGCUUGACAGCCAAAUCUUCCAAAACUCUUGAGUUGGUUUGGCGUUUACGAAGCCCUUUGUAUGUUUGCCUCUUGAAAUCAGAGCAGCGAAAUCUCUCCAUUCAUCGUCUUUCUUAUCAUAGCUACUGGAGUCCCAUCUGAUGGUGAAAAUAUGAUCACAUCUUUUAAUAUUUGCACGUUGAGCUCAGCCGCUGCUUCCUGAAGCUCAUUUCUGGUUGACUGGUGAUGGAAUGAGUAUAACUUUGAAAUAAAGGACAAAGUGAUUACAGCCAGACACCUCUCUGAUUGCCAGUGCACAGACUGCAUGUUCCAAAAGUCGUGAGUCAAUUAGUCCACUGGUUUUCCUGGUGAGCUCCAUCGGUGACGCUGCUUUUGAGCCCUUCAUCCCUUCCUGCAUUAUGUAGAUUCCCCUCCAUAGAGCUAUAAAUAGAUCCAUCAUUGAACCCCAUUAGUAGGCUCCACUAUAUCCAGGAAAACAUCUACAUCCCAUAUAGCAUACAUAAUUAGAUAGGGACACCAGUGAGCCGGGCUCUCAUCCUUUGGGAUACUUUGGCCAGUUAAUACUGUGCAGACAUGGUCUGAUUUGUGUAUAUUUUGUAUAUAUUUCUCCUGCAUUUACAUGAGCGGCUUAGGCUAUUUAUUUGAUGGCCUUUCCUUUGCCACUGUGUACGUGGUUCUAAAGGAUAUUCUUGUUUUCUGUAAGUAAGUAAGAAAUAAAAAAGUGAAGCUGUCACUGUGGCUUUUUCUAUUGACCUUG